UGGGGAUUAGCCAAGUCGGUAAGGCACAUGACUUUGACUCAUGUAUGCGUAGGUUC
rnacentral:tRNA from 1 species